GAUGAACGCUGGCGGCGUGCUUAACACAUGCAAGUCGAACGGAAAGGCCCAAGCUUGCUUGGGUACUCGAGUGGCGAACGGGUGAGUAACACGUGGGUGAUCUGCCCUGCACUUCGGGAUAAGCCUGGGAAACUGGGUCUAAUACCGGAUAGGACCACUUCUUGGAUGUUGUGGUGGAAAGUUUUUUCGGUGUGGGAUGAGCUCGCGGCCUAUCAGCUUGUUGGUGGGGUAAUGGCCUACCAAGGCGUCGACGGGUAGCCGGCCUGAGAGGGUGUACGGCCACAUUGGGACUGAGAUACGGCCCAGACUCCUAAGGGAGGCAGCAGUGGGGAAUAUUGCACAAUGGGCGCAAGCCUGAUGCAGCGACGCCGCGUGGGGGAUGACGGCCUUCGGGUUGUAAACUCCUUUCGCUAGGGACGAAGCGUUUUGUGACGGUACCUGGAGAAGAAGCACCGGCUAACUACGUG
rnacentral:rRNA from 1 species